rnacentral:snRNA from 1 species
GGAUGUGAGGGCGAUCUGGCUGCGACAUCUGUCACCCCAUUGAUCACCAGGGUUGAUUCGGCGGAUCUGGCUGGCUAGGCGGGUGUCCCCUUCCUCCCUCUCCGCUCCAUGUGCGUCCCUCCCGAAGCUGCGCGCUCGGUCGAAGAGGACGACCUUCCCCGAUAGAGGAGGGCCGUUCUUCGGUCAAGGGUAUACGAGUAGCUGCGCUCCCCUGCUAGAACCUCCAAACAAGCUCUCAAGAAUAAAUAGAUAAAUAAAUAUAUCUUAAAUAUUUGCUC